UAAGGUAGCGAAAUUCCUUGUCGGGUAAGUUCCGACCUGCACGAAUGGCAUAAUGAUGGCGGCGCUGUCUCCAGCAGAGACUCAGUGAAAUCGAAAUCGCAGUGAAGAUGCUGUGUACCCGCGGCUAGACGGAAAGACCCCGUGAACCUUUACUACAGCUUUACAUUGAACUUUGACCUUACCUGUGUAGGAUAGGUGGGAGGCUUUGAAGCAGGCACGCCAGUGUCUGUGGAGCCAUCCUUGAAAUACCACCCUGGUAAUGUUGGGGUUCUAACUCAAGCUUAACAGAGCUGAGGACAAUGU
rnacentral:rRNA from 1 species